CUGUCCCUGGGUUCUGUUCCGAACGCCUGUCUUGGAAGCGUCGCAUCUUCUCCAUGCGGAUAAAAAAAAAAAGGAGUGUUGGGCCAGAGAGACAGACUCCUAGCUCAGGCUUUCCUCACACCCUCAGCCAGACUCUUCUGCUCAGGAAUCGGGAGUAUGACAGGGAGAGAGCAAAACGUAAUGCCCAGGGGGUGCGUAAGCCCACCUUUCCAGCACCUCUGACAGCUGUGUCUCCUUCAAGCCCUUCAGCUGUCUUGCCCCUGAAUGAGAUGAGGGGACUGAGCCUCAAUAAUGCAGGUCCCUCCUUAUGCAGUGAGAUCGCAUUGAGAAUUCCCAGUGCGCUGUGCAAGGCUACACAUGGGCUGCAAUUCGAAUGUGCAAGGGAAGCUGCUGUACUGCCAGUGCGGUCCGUGAAAUCACUGCCAGGAGAUGACUGCGCACGGAGAAUGAGAACACUGUGAUCCAGGAGCAGGAGCUGCCUGUUCAGACGUUUGACACUUUUUUUUAUAAAACCCUCUGAAGGCUCUGUUCCAGCCUCUAUCAAUAAAACUCUGCCCUGCCGCCUGCCUCCGGAGAAAUUAAUGUUCUGCCACUGAAGCAAUGUCGCUCGUGAGAAAUGUGUUCAAAAACCUACAACAAAAUGUCCACCGUCAAUGUUGGCAGACGAAAUAACGUGGCUUAUUUCUGUUACCAAGACCACUGUGGGUUAAGGUUGCAAAGUUGGAUUUGAAUGAGAAAAGAACAGCUCCUGUCUAAGACUAUAAUCAGUCUCCCAGCACCCGAGUCUGCCUGCAACGUGCUUGCCUACUUAAGUUGCU
rnacentral:lncRNA from 1 species